rnacentral:lncRNA from 1 species
CUAGACCUGAAAAUGUUUGGGAGAGCAAAUCACGUGUCAGUUGAGGAGACAAAUAUUUCUGAAGCCAAAAUGGAGUCACGUAAGACUGACGACACUGAUGCAGUUCCCAGUGUCAAAAGCAAAGUCAAAGCACGUCACAGCAGCCGAUCUGGAGCUACGUCACUGGACAAACUGGAAUUGGAAGGAUCAGUUGGUGCAAGUAAAUGCUUCAGAUUGCUGCCUCAGUUCAGG